AGAGUUUGAUCCUGGCUCAGAAUCAACGCUGGCGGCGCGCUUAACACAUGCAAGUCGCACGAGAAAGUCCGCAAGGAUGAGUAAAGUGGCGUACGGGUGAGUAACACGUGGAUCAUCUACCUCUUAGUGGGGGAUAACCCUGGGAAACCGGGGCUAAUACCGCAUGAGCCUGAGAAGGGAAAGCAGCAAUGCGCUGAGAG
rnacentral:rRNA from 1 species